AGAGAGAGAAUAACUUCUUUCAAGGCUAGCAAGUAUAAAGCCAGCUUUCUAAAACAGUUUUGUUUCUCCCUGAAGUCUAUGCUCUUAACUACUAUAACUUCUGCCUCCCCAAAUUCACUUAGAUUCUUCAAUUCAACCAAUAUUCACCAGAACCUUCUAACGGAAGGAUGAGGUAGUUGCUACGGAAACACAGGAUAAGACACAGUCCAUAUCCUUAGAUCUAAAAGGAAAGGCAGGAUUUUCACAUGCCAAACCAAGAACAAAGACUACAGUAUAUGAGUUCUUGGAGACAUGAGGGAUCUUUCAAGAGACAAUGCAAGUAUUGAUGAUGGGGAAGCAAAGAUGAAAUGCUUUAUGCUCAGCUCCACAAAUCCUGCCGUGGUUCGGUGCAACUGUGGGUUAUACACCAUGGAGCAGUAAGUAAAAUGUGGACCCAUGAACUAAGUAAAACUUUGGGGAAGAAUGAAGUCAAGAAGGGUUUGAAUACCUGGUCACUUCAAGGUGCUUGAAGGAAGAGGAGAGUUUGUAUGGAUCUAGGGAGAAAGAAGAAUAUUCCAGAAGAGGGAAAUGAUGUAAGGUGAAGUACUAAGAAUAAACAUGAGCUGUGUCCUG